UACGUUGGGGAUUAUUCGAUGUAUAUUUUAUUUAUAAAUUAUUAAAAAACUCGAGGGAGGAUGGAAUCUUUGUCGUUAAAUUUCACGGAUUCAAAUCUGGAAGAAUCCUCCUCCUGUUACCGGAGGAGGAGACGAGAGAAGAGAGAGAGAUUAGAUGAUUUUUAAUUCGAGACUAAACGUAGUCCUCCGAGAAAUUGGACAAUGGAACCGACUCGAUCGAUCUACACGACUGGUACGACUUCCUAGAAAUCUCAGUCGAGGUAAAACAAUUCAACCUUUGAAAGGAAUUCACCCGGCGUCAUUUGAGCUUCGACGAUAAGCUGUUUGGAGAAAUGAACGUCUCAGGCACACUGGGUGUCCUUAAGAAUAAAAUUAUGUUUUUCAUCAAGGGAGGGGAGAGGGAAAGAAAAAUAGGGAGGGAAUUUGGAAGAGAAUUUGUAAAUAUUUCACUCAAUUUUGAUGAUAAAUAAGGUAAAUGUAAUUACAGGAUAAUUUAUAUAAUUUAAUAUUUAAUUCGUAAUCCUGUUUUUAUUAAAGCAUACAUACUGGACGAAUCCAGUUGGAUAAUUGGCCAUCAGAGAGUUUUUAAAGGUGGAAGAAAAUCAGCGGGAAACACGGAGAUAUGAGUCAGAAAAGGAGUGCGUACGUGCAUGGCGUCGAAUAUUCACCGGUGCCUCGCGGCACAUGUAACUGGAACCGUAACUAGACACCGAUAAGUUAAGCACGGCGCACUUGCACAACAGAGAGGUUUGGAACAAAAAGAAAAACAAAGUAUGAAUUUUCGCAAAUUCAGUCGGGUCGGUUACGAGAAUAGAAGAGAGCCAAGAACCCAAUAUUUCGCGAUUUAAGUAACAAAACGAUAGAAUAUCCAAUUUAAUUCCCGUUAAUCUUCCGCAGGAUCGAUCCGAAUGUUAUCAAUCGCUAGAACCUGGCCCCCACGAACAUAUCCAUUCCCAGCAUGAUACGCGAAUGAUAGGCAAACAUGAUAUCCCUAAACCAAGCUCCAGGGUAUAUGAUUUUCGACGCAGAGAGGUCUCGUCAUUUGGGAGGAGAAGAGGAUAAUAUACUCCAUAUUACAUGUUCUCGUGUCAGGUGUUUAAACUCGAGAAAAAUUAAUUAAUAAAUAUAUUAUCAUGGAAAAGAGUAAUUAUUCGUAUAUGCUGGAUAAAUUAGAAAUUGGAAUAAGUUGCGUUUAAUUAUCUUCAAGAUUGAACAUCAUCUUUUACAGAUCACGUGCCGGAGAUUCGAUAUACGAUAUCGACCUACGAACACCUAAACAUGUUCCACACAAGCUCGUAGGCCCCCGCGUGUAGAUUUAAGGUACACAAGCGGACGACGAGAUCGCGAUAACCCGAAGCGUUUGCCAACACACCUGACUGCAACUGGAGAUCCAUUGCUACGCGACACCUACGAGACCGCAUCUGCUCUCGUCAUGGGAUCCCUUGUUUCAAAUUGUAUGCGACAGACAAUCGUCGACGAGUGAAAAAACAUUCGGAGGAAAAGUCGAAUAAUUUUUCCUCCUCCCCCUCCUCGACCUGUUCUUCUUCAAAAAAUUGAAAUUGAUAUUAAUAUUAACUGGUGUAAGUAGAUCAUCGUACGAUGAUAUAUAUUUCACAAUGUGAAUAUGGAAGAAAAAUGCAGUGUUCAGCUGUUGUGAAAACUGUUGUGACGUAAUCACAAGCUUGCGAAAAUUUGUUGGCCUUCGUCGAGGUAUUAUAUUUGUAACGAUGAUUUAACGAUGUCUGCAGAUUUAUAAAACAAGUUCAUCAGUUCUCGAUAAGUCUAAUUAGGUUAUGAAUCUGUUUCGUUCUGUCUUAUAUAUAUUAUAAUGUCAAGGAUCGAGAGAAAAUUCAGCUUCCUACGAUGAAAAAGAAAACGAGAAGAUAAAGAGGAGAAAAGAAAGUUUAUGCGAGGAUCGAUUAAAGCGAUCCUCGGGGCGAAGGUCGUUGUCUUCGUGAUCGUUGUCGCGCUGAAAAUCAUGGCAUUCGCAUUCCUGAAAUGCUGCGGGUUCCGCGAGGAAUCGGCGUCGAUAAGCGAAAUACAAUACAUCGUGACAUCACGCUGCGAAUCGCACGCCUUUGUCCUCGUCGUCAUUGUUUCUCUUUGAUUAGGUCGGCUGGCUACUCCGAUCCUAGCAUCGACCUUUACUUCGUAUCUUCCUAUAAUUCGAUUUUCCAUUAUCAACAAUUCCUUCUUCUUCUUCUUCUUCUUCUUUUUCAGAUAGGAUCUUUUUUCUGAGCCGAUUAAUUAGCUCAACUGAGCGAGCGAGUAAUCGUAAUACGAUCGUUGAAAUAAGGUGAAAGUCAUACUCCUUUCGAUAUCGAGUAUCAUGGCGAUUGUAGCGAGGCUAGGGAUAAGCAUUAGAGGGCGUCAGGGCACGUGUUCGAUGAUUCCAUUCCUGCCCAGCUACUAAAGGGAUCCCAUCGGGCUAGGCCACUCCCACUCUCCCAUGGAAUAGCACGUGCCUUCCUACAACGAUACCCAUCAACCCCGAACCCCGUAUUUUAUGACCCGUGUACAACGGUAAGUACUCACUUCCAAGUAUCACGUUCCACUUACUUGUAUGAUCAAUCUUGGCAAUCUUCGUUUAACGAAUUUGAGAGAGAAAUGCUCUUCUCGAAAUUUUUUUUUUUUUUUCUUUAAAAAUAAUAUUACAGGGAUAUUUAAGCGGGACGAAAUCGAGAGCGAAUUUCUCUUUAAAGAAGUGAGCGCGAAGAAAUUAUGAAGUAAAUCAAGGGGCCAGGGGGUCAUAUGCACGAUAACUCAUCUUACGAUAUCUUCCACCGUAAGCCAAUCACCGAGUGGUAUCUCGACCUCGUCAAACGUAGCGACAUCUUCAUAGGUAUUCCCCUUCUCCGUUUCGCAAUUAACAAAGGAAAUAAAUAUUAAUUUUCUUGGUUUAAUUUCGAUCAACAAUUGAUCGGCUUUUCAUCCUCCUUUUUUUAUAAAGUAGAAUAAUUUCUUUGUAUCUUCGCUUCUCCAUCUAACAACCUGUUACUGUAUAGAAUUUUAUUUAUAUAUACAUUCAAUAUUUUGCAGCGAGGCCGAAUCUGGACGAGUCAACUUAGAUACAAAGAGAUGAUAAUAAAUUGAGGGGGCCCGACUUGGUUCUUGCCACUUGGUUCGUCGUCGAACAUUUAUCUCAUUUUCUUUUCUCGCGGCCGUUUUGCAACCGACCACCCGUCAUUUCUGAUCGUUUUAUCGUUUUAGAGAGCCAAGGAGCCGGUCGGUUUAGACGCCGAUAAGGAAAUCGAGUACAAAUUGCGUGACUCUCCACCUCCUUAUCUGCCUUCACUGGACUUCUAUGCAAGCUGUAAAUGACACUUCUCAGAUUUACCUACCUUACGUGGUAGGACAUCUAACGACGAAAUUAUCAAAAAAUCAAAAAUUAUCGUUUAUCACCGGCUGGCUCGUUUGUUAAAUUUCGAUCGAUCGAUCGAAAUUUCCAUUCGAGGAUCGAAAAUUUUAUUGCAUUAACAGUUGUUGUUAAUUGGAAUGAACGCCCGCGAUUUCCUUAUCAACUAAAGAGUAACCCAGAACCGUGCCCUUGUUUACUAGAAAUCUAUUUUAACGCGGGUAAAAUGAUAUUACGUUUCGCGGCCUGGUUUCCGAAUAAAUAAAUAGAAUUACGUUAUCGACGAUGUAAAUGAGGCGCUAUCUGGUUGGUUUUUUCGGAAAGGAAUCAUCGAGAUUCUUGAACUCGUUCGAACAGGAGUUGAUAAAACGGAUAACUGUGCUUUAAAAAAGGAGGAAAAAAAAAAAAAAAAAAAGAAGAAGAAGAAAAAAAAAGCGAGUAUUAUAACUACGGUAUAAUUAUGAUAAUGGAAUUAUCAACGUUUUGUUUGUUAGUUUCGUGUAAUUAGAAGGCUCUAAAGAAGCUAAACUACGACCCCAGUUAAUCAGAGCACCGCUCAAGCGCUGCACAAUUAAACGUGUCAACUUUCUAUGGAGCUUUAUCGGUGAGUUUUUAUUAGCCCGAUAAAUAUGCAUGCAUAAUCGUGAAUAUGACUAUUAAACGCACCACGAAAAUGUAGAACAUCAGUCGAGACACUUAUUAGCUAGUAUUUAUACUGUUUACGAUAUUUUUACAGCAAAAAAAAAAUUUUUUUUUUUUUUUUUUUUCAAAAGUCAUCAAAAAGUGCCGAAGUUUCAAGAUCGAGGAAGAAAAAGAUCUUAAAUACACUUUUAACACUUUUGUAAUAAUGCGGUAUACACGCAUCAUUUGAUACACAGGGUAUAUUUCCAUUAGUGAUCAUUUUUAACCCGAAACUGUCGAGGAUGAGCAACUGACAGCUUCUCGAAGAAGCGCAAUCGAGGCAGAGAAUGUGAACUGAACGACACGUGGAGAGAUUAGGAUGCAGCCUCCACCGGACGUGAUUUAAACGAAAAAAUGAUAAAGUGGAUCGUGUAAAUCUAUGUGGAGGAACAAUCGGACGGUAUGAAUUUGUAUAUGAACAGUAUUAUGAUGGACAAGGGGAGGGCAGUGAUGAAAGGUGAACGAACCGGAGAAUCGUGCAACGUGAACGACGUUGGCGCAUCCACGAGGCCGGGCCAAAAAGACUUCUGGCUCGUAGCUGGCAAUGUUUGAAGUGCCGUCGCCGGAAGCUUACAAACACCGGCCCGGUGUUGUGACAUCGUAUUAUGCCAAGCGAAACUUACGAUCUCGCUAGAUCGUUAAUUUGCGAUCCAGCUUUACGACGUCUAGUUUGCACCGAACCACCGAUGUACUUGGCAAAAAUUCGUCAAACAACUAGCCCACCAAUACUCCAUAUAACUAUCGCACGAUCUCCUCCGUUCCAGGCAAAUUAUUAUUCAAACAACGAAUAUAGUAAAAUUUUGUAAGAGUACAGUGCAAAAAUAUUGCAUCAGUAGAGAUAAUUCACAAUUAUUUUCGCGGGUAGGAUUGUCAAAAGCGGUUUGCAAAUGUGGCAGAAUAUACAGAGAUCGCGUGGAAAUAUACCGGAGAAGUGCAUCAGGGGUUGACACUGAAAAACGUUCUCGAGAAAUCUGUCGAGGCGGUUGGCUGGAACACGUGGUCACCUCGUUAAUUCGCUAGACAGCCAUUAAAUUAAGCUCCUAUACCGGUGAAUGCUUUGAACGAAUAGGGAAAAAGAGGAUCGACAUAGCUGGAUUCUUCAAAGGACAAAAAUUUUAGAAAUAACUUUUGGAUUACUAUCGGUGUACUUGCUGGAAGAAAUAUUGCUUGGAAAGAAAGUGGUAAAUGAUUAAAUGAAGUGAUAUAUCUCUAAUAUAUCAUUAUAUAUCUAUAUAUCUAAGUGUGUUAAUCAUGAAUCCACAGAAUCCAUAGUCUUUCAUAGAGAUAUUAAGAAUUGGUGAAUGAUAAUUUCAAUUUUUGUAAAUUAAAAGAGAAAUAAUAGGUGGAAAUAUGGGGAAAUACCGCUUGAUAAAUUACAUGUUUUAUAAACAAACAAAUGAAAGUUGGUUUAUUGUUUCUGAUGAUUUAGCUUGUUUGCACUACAUACAGAGUUCAACAUGACUAAAGAUAGAGGGCCUAUAAACACUUCUGUAGAUCAACAAAUGAAUGAGAUUUAGAACGUCAGGAUAAACUUAUAUCUUUGAUCCUUUGUUUUUCAUCAUAUUUUAACUCUAUUUCAUAUAAGAGAGACGAUCAAAUAAUUAUAAAUCAGCAAAUUAAAUGAUUCUUCUCGGAAAAUUAAUAGGUUAAACUCAUUGAAAAUUUUGAAAAUCGAUCAAAUGUAAUCCGAGAUUGAAAGAUUGAAUUAUGCUUUAACAAUUUACAUUCUAUUCCUUUCCCUAACAAGUGUAUCAACAUACAAGCGAUGGAAGUCAGGUCGUGGGAGAGGAAAGAUCAGCAUAGGUCGACAAUGUGAGAGGCAACUCUUCUCUUAUCUGCUGCCUCGAUAAAAAGCUCCUCUCCGCUUUUCCUUCAACUUAUCAGCGGUUCGUUUAUUUUGAAUAACUAGUUCGCGUGUCUGCCCCAGAAUUAUCGUCCCAUGACCACCUAAUAAUCACAUAUUCUUCCUUCGAUAUUGCUUUAAUUUAAACUCGGCACGGAGUACACUCCUACACAACUGGCCUGAUUUAGCCUGUUAGCCAUAGUAAGACGAGCUUCUAUCGAUUUCUCGAGCUCGCUUUGUAAGCCUAUACCACAUCCGAUCGAUCCACAGGUUGAAUCAAAUAUAAGUUCAUUCAUGGAAGAGGGCUAUUCAAUAAAUUCAACUGUCUAUGCUCAAACUGGACGAUUCUACUCUCUACUCGAAAUUUGAAUAAAGAAGAGACGACGAUUAUUUAGAAAUGGAAUGGUUAAUAAUAAUUCGACGAAGAGACGCAGAUCGGAUAGUUGCGAAAUUUUCGAGGUCACGACCUCCAUUUUUCUCUUUUUUCUUUCCCUCGUAUGCGACGAUAAGCAACGCUGCUCAACACUCUCGAUUAUCGGUACACUCUCGACUGAACUGUUUGACGAGCGUUAAUUUGAAAAUCCAUGAAAAUUCAAUGAUUUAUAAUAAUCAAUCCUUCGCGAUGAUCAAUUGCCUGUGUGAUUUUACAAUUGUAAAAAAAAUUCAUGGAAUACCAUGCAAUUAUUUUUUAAACAAACGAUCUCUCAUGGUCCUCCAUGAUUUUACAGAUAAUUAAAUGAUUAAGAUUAAG
rnacentral:lncRNA from 11 species